rnacentral:tRNA from 1 species
GCAGAGGUGUCCGAGUCUGGUCAAAGAAAUAGCAUUCAGAAUGCUGAUUAAUUUAACUAAAGGAGCAGGACUGAGGCUCCUGUGGCGAAGGCCUGCGUGGGUUCGAAGCCCAUCCUCUGCACCA